rnacentral:rRNA from 1 species
GAUGAACGCUGGCGGCGUGCCUAAUACAUGCAAGUCGAGCGAACAGACGAUGAGCUUGCUCCUCUGACGUUAGCGGCGGACGGGUGAGUAACACGUGGAUAACCUACCUAUAAGACUGGGAUAACUUCGGGAAACCGGAGCUAAUACCGGAUAAUAUAUUGAACCGCAUGGUUCAAUAGUGAAAGACGGUUUUGCUGUCUCUUAUAGAUGGAUCCGCGCCGCAUUAGCUAGUUGGUAAGGUAACGGCUUACCAAGGCAACGAUGCGUAGCCGACCUGAGAGGAUGAUCAGCCACACUGGAACUGAGACACGGUCCAGACUCCUACGGGAGGCAGCAGUAGGGAAUAUUCCGCAAUGGGCGAAAGCUUGACGGAGCAACGCCGCGUGAGUGAUGAAGGUCUUCGGAUCGUAAAACUCUGUUAUUAGGGAAGAAAAAAUGUGUAAGUAACUAUGCACGUCUUGACGGUACCUAAUCAGAAAGCCACGGCUAACUACGUG